rnacentral:lncRNA from 1 species
CCUGACUAGAUCUUUGACCACCUAUACUCUAUCAUCCCAUACCAUAUUGUGUUGUAAUCACAUCAUCUUUGCACAAUAUAAGCAUAUCAUCAACAAAAGCAAAAUAAUUUACCUUUGGACUUCCUCUUGGUAUCCCAAAAUAUUUAAAAUCUUUAUUAAGCAACAGGACCUUCUUUUUACCUCCUACUGUGUUGAAUCUCAG